UACAGAGGUCUCAAGCGUUGUUCGGAUUCAUUGGGCGUAAAGGGUGCGUAGGUGGCGGGGUAAGUCAGGUGUGAAAUCUCGGAGCUUAACUCCGAAACUGCAUUCGAUACUGCCGUGCUUGAGGACUGGAGAGGAGACUGGAAUUUACGGUGUAGCGGUGAAAUGCGUAGAUAUCGUAAGGAAGACCAGUGGCGAAGGCGGGUCUCUGGACAGUUCCUGACGCUGAGGCACGAAGGUCAGGGGAGCAAACGGG
rnacentral:rRNA from 1 species